rnacentral:misc_RNA from 1 species
UUCUGAAAUGACUGCGACGCAUGCGCGAAAUUGUUCGACGUCAUCGGAAAUCUUGGCGGCAAGUUCGGCAAACGUAAAAUCUGUGAUGUGAAAACUUAUGUAAUAACAAUCACGUAACAAGCAUAAAAAACAUGUCAUCCAGAUGUAUCAUUCUCAAACUUACAGUUAUUCAACUAGCAGUCUGUGUUUACGCUGCACUGAUGACUACGGACGCCAACUUCGAGUUUCGAAAGACAGCAGUCCUUCGGUGCACCUCGGACAAUCCUGGCAGCAAAGUUUACUGGGAAUCGUCCAACGGGACCCGAGUAGUGGCACUCAACCCGCACAAGCCAGCCAGAUAUGAGGAGGGAGCUAACGGGAGUUUGAUCAUCUGGAAGCCAAGUCGUGAGACUGCUGGCCUGUAUUACUGCUGCCAGGACUCUGCUUCUGGGAAGAUUCGGAAGCCAGCGAAUUUCUUUGCCCUGACCCUUGUCGUGAGCAUCCUGGAGAUGAGUGCCUAUGUGAACCAAGGAGAUACUUUUGUCAUGACUUGUCUGGUUUUGGGCCAUCCGAAGCCAACAGUUAACUGGUACAAAGAUGGCACAUUAGUACAGCUCAGUAGCAGAAUUACUGUCGAAGAUACUUUCGUGAAUGGAAUUCCAGCACAGAAUCUGAAAAUCACCAACGUUCACUAUGAUGAAGGAGGAAUAUACACAUGUGAGGCAAGGAGUUCGCGGCACCCAGACAGAGUGAGCACCGGGCGUCAAAGACUGCGCGUUAUUGGUAUGCCUUUACCUGGCCAUUAUUAGGCAUCAUUGUGGAAUUUCUAUUAAUUUUCACAAUCAUUGUCAUUAGUGAAUACAAGAAGAAAGAUGUGGAGAGUGAAAUUCAAGAAGUGGAAGAGAAGCCAAUUCAUCAUCAUCGUAGGAGCAGAAGCCAAUCAGUCCCAAAAUAAAUAUGCCAAAAGCCAUUACUGACAGUUUUGGAGAUGUAUGUCAUGAAAGUAUCAACAGGAAAGAGCAUGAACAAAUGCUAUAAAAACAGCUAAGAAACUGCACAUUCAGCAUGCACGUGGGUGUGCAUGAAUGCGGAUGUGUGUGCAUGUGAUGUAGGCAACAAAACCCUAGUGCCAUUUUGCAAAGAUGUCAUGAACUCAAAAGUUUAUUUUCUUCAUGAUUUCCAAACCAUUUUUACUUUUGUUUUUAUCAAAUUGGAUAUUAAAGACUAAUUUGUUUCUUUGUUACAUGCAAUGUAUUGAAUAUUUUUGUGGUUUUUA